UCCUAAGCCGCAACACUCCUCCCUGCUCAGCCUUGUGGGGAGGGAGGUUGCUUGCACCCCAUAUUUUGGUGCCCAACCUCCCAUCUGGAUGUUUUAGUCAUAAGCAGAGAAGAGGAGCAGAAAAAACACUGUGGCUUGCACCUUGGGCUGGCUUCUGGGAUGUAUCUGGUUUUAUACGGUGGCAGAAAAAGCCAUUUAGAAAUUCCCAUUUAAGAAGCCUGGUCCAAAUGCCUACAAAUCCUGCUGUGAAUCCAUUUUUCCUGCCAGGAGGAGAUGUUUAAUAAGCAGCUACUGCGCAGAGAAGCCGUUCUGGCCAAGGAUAACUCGGCCAAGGAUAAAUGUGUUUAUGACUCUGCAAAGUUCUUUUUUUUUUUUUUUUUUUAAUAUAUAUUUAGGAGUUUGAAAAUCAGAUAUAACUUCUGAUCUCGUGUCACUAGCUUGUUUUCAGUUGAAUGUUUUUGACUGCGCCCGAUUUAUAUUUACUUGUUUGUAUUAUAAAAACCCAGGUCUUUCACAUAAAAAUGACUGGGCAGGAUAAAAGAAUAAAGAAAAAUUGGGCAUUGCCAAUAUUAGGUCAGCAACUGAGAUUUUUCUGGAAAGACAAAUUUUUUUUAAUCCAUUUACAGAAAUUUUACAAAACCAUGAAGACUGUUUACUGCAAUGCCUGAAAUACCUGCAUUUCUGCUCUGCUCUCUGUCCCUUGAAUAUUUUAAUGCUUUCAAGAUAUGCAGGCACUGUUUAUUGAAAGAAUAACUGUAGUCGUCUUGUAUAAAAUAGAAUUUAGAAUACAUAGAAUAGAAAUAUAGAAAAAAAAAAUAAUGGAUGAUUGCAACAUGUAAUUUUUGAUGUCUCUUACA